CUUUGCGGGCACUGUUGUCAGUGUUGGACGAUAGGGGUAGACGGGAAGCACGGCUUAUUGAGUCAUUGGAGAAACGAGAAAGUUUUCUCUGUCAAGCCAUGUUAAGAAGAAUUGAUCAUGUAGUCAGAGAGGACAGUUCUUCUUCACCGGUUUCUGAUAUAGACAACAACAACCUAUGUCUGAAUGAGAUUGCCAAUGAUCAACAAGCAGCUAUAGUAUUUGAGAAGCGGGGCAAAAGCCUAUUGUGGAGCCUUGUUCAGGAGUUUGAUGAAUGGAUAUGGGAUAAAUAUUAUCUUAACCUCAAUGCUGUUAAACACAGCCGAAGAUCCUACCUUGAUUCGCUCACUAGGUGUAAGAGUUGUCAUGAUUUGUAUUGGAGAGAUGAGAAGCACUGCAAGAUUUGCCAUGCUACCUUUGAGCUUGAUAUAGAUCUUGAAGAAAGAUAUGCGAUUCAUGAAGCCACAUGCAGCAGGAAGAAUGAAGAGACUAGUGAUUCAUUUCCAGAUCAUAAAGUUCUUUCUUCCCAGUUGCAAUCACUAAAGGCUGCAGUGUAUCUAGUUGUAUUGAUUCUGUGCCUAACUUUUCCCUAUUUUUGGCUUGGUGCAGGCUUUGCGGGCACUGUUGUCAGUGUUGGACGAUAGGGGUAGACGGGAAGCACGGCUUAUUGAGUCAUUGGAGAAACGAGAAAGUUUUCUCUGUCAAGCCAUGUUAAGAAGAAUUGAUCAUGUAGUCAGAGAGGACAGUUCUUCUUCACCGGUUUCUGAUAUAGACAACAACAACCUAUGUCUGAAUGAGAUUGCCAAUGAUCAACAAGCAGCUAUAGUAUUUGAGAAGCGGGGCAAAAGCCUAUUAUGGAGCCUUGUUCAGGAGUUUGAUGAAUGGAUAUGGGAUAAAUAUUAUCUUAACCUCAAUGCUGUUAAACACAGCCGAAGAUCCUACCUUGAUUCGCUCACUAGGUGUAAGAGUUGUCAUGAUUUGUAUUGGAGAGAUGAGAAGCACUGCAAGAUUUGCCAUGCUACCUUUGAGCUUGAUAUAGAUCUUGAAGAAAGAUAUGCGAUUCAUGAAGCCACAUGCAGCAGGAAGAAUGAAGAGACUAGUGAUUCAUUUCCAGAUCAUAAAGU
rnacentral:lncRNA from 1 species